GAUGAACGCUAGCUACAGGCUUAACACAUGCAAGUCGAGGGGCAGCAUAAAUCUAGCAAUAGAUUUGAUGGCGACCGGCGCACGGGUGAGUAACACGUAUCCAACCUACCUAUUACUCGGGUAUAGCCUUUCGAAGGAAAGAUUAAUCCCCGAUACGAUAUUGAGUUCGCAUGAAUUUGAUAUGAAAGAUUUAUUGGUAUUAGAUGGGGAUGCGUUCCAUUAGAUUGUUGGUGAGGUAACGGCUCACCAAGUCUUCGAUGGAUAGGGGUUCUGAGAGGAAGGUCCCCCACACUGGAACUGAGACACGGUCCAGACUCCUACGGGAGGCAGCAGUGGGGAAUAUUGGUCAAUGGGCGAGAGCCUGAACCAGCCAAGUAGCGUGAGGGAUGACUGCCCUAUGGGUUGUAAACCUCUUUUAUAAGGGAAUAAAACGCUCCACGAGUGGAGCUUUGCAUGUACCUUUUGAAUAAGGAUCGGCUAACUCCGUGCCAGCCGCCGCCGUAA
rnacentral:rRNA from 1 species